CCGCCUGCCCUGUGACUAUAUGUUUAACGGCCGCGGUAUCUUAACCGUGCGAAGGUAGCGUAAUCACUUGUCUUUUAAAUGAAGACCUGUAUGAAUGGCAUCACGAGGGCUUAACUGUCUCCCCUCUCCAGUCAAUGAAAUUGACCUCCCCGUGCAGAGGCGGGGAUAUUUUUAUAAGACGAGAAGACCCUGUGGAGCUUUAGACCUAAGAUAAACCACGUUAAAUAUACUAAAAUUAAUAGCAAAAACUUAGUGGCCCUUUAUUUAAGUGUCUUUGGUUGGGGCGACCACGGAGUAAAACAUAACCUCCAUGUGGACGGGGAUACUAUCCCUAAAACUCAGAGCCUCCACUCUAAGCAACAGAAAUUCUGACCUUACUGAUCCGGUACAACCGAUUAACGAACCCAGUUACCCCAGGGAUAACAGCGCAAUCCCCUCUCAGAGCCCAUAUCGACGAGGGGGUUUACGACCUCGAUGUUGGAUCAGGACAUCCUAGUGGUGCAGCCGCUAUUG
rnacentral:rRNA from 1 species